AGUGAACGCUGGCGGUAGGCCUAACACAUGCAAGUCGAACGGCAGCACAGUAAGAGCUUGCUCUUACGGGUGGCGAGUGGCGGACGGGUGAGGAAUACAUCGGAAUCUACUUUUUCGUGGGGGAUAACGUAGGGAAACUUACGCUAAUACCGCAUACGACCUACGGGUGAAAGCAGGGGAUCUUCGGACCUUGCGCGAUUGAAUGAGCCGAUGUCGGAUUAGCUAGUUGGCGGGGUAAAGGCCCACCAAGGCGACGAUCCGUAGCUGGUCUGAGAGGAUGAUCAGCCAAACUGGACCGGGGCCACGGCCAGGCCUCCUAGGGGAGGCAGAAGUGGGAAAUAUUGACAAAGGGCCGAAAGCCUGACCAAGCAUACCGGGUUGGUUAAAGAAGGCCUUGGGUUUGUAAAGCCUUUUGUUUGGAAAAGAAAAGCAGCAGGUUAAUACCCCGUGGUCCUGCGGUAACCAAAAGAAGAAGAACGGGUUACUUUCGU
rnacentral:rRNA from 1 species